GGGAGAGAAUGAUUGGUUAUCACACCAGAGCCACAUGAAAUGAGAAGUUGGUGGGGACUCUGCUCCAAGUCAUCCUCACUUCAAAAGCAGCCAUCACUGGACCAUUGCCAGUUUACCUGGGCAGAUCAAAGAAGAGGUGGUGAAUUAUGUAGCAACUCUUAAAGUCUCAACAGGAAGUGGCACCAUUAUUUCUACCCAUGUUUUACUUAACAAAGCAAGUCAGAUGGCCACAGCUCAUUUCAAAGCAGGAAUAGAAUUGCAAGAUCAAAGGGAAGAUGUAUAUUUAACAUUACAAGGAACUGCCAAACAGUUUUCCAAAGUGGUUACAACAUUGCUCAUUUCCACCAACAGAGUAUGGAGCUCUGACUGUUCGACAUCCUGGACACCUUCUUUGAUUUCAGCCAUUCCAGUAGAAGUGAAAAGCCAUCUCAAUGUGGUUUUAAUUUUCAUUUAGCUGAUGAUAGUGAAUGUUGAGCCUUUUUUCAUGCGAUUAACUGGCCAUUUGUAUAUCUUCGUUUGAGAUGUGCCUAUUAAAUAUUUUUC
rnacentral:lncRNA from 1 species